rnacentral:rRNA from 1 species
GCAGUCGAACGGACGAUGAAGAGCUUGCUUUUCAAGUUAGUGGCGGACGGCUGAUUAACGCGUGGGUAACCUGCCUCAUACAGGGGGAUAGCAGCUGGAAACGGCUGAUAAAACCGCAUAAGCGCACAGCAUCGCAUGAUGCAGUGUGAAAAACUCCGGUGGUAUGAGAUGGACCCGCGUCUGAUUAGCUGGUUGGUGAGGUAACGGCCCACCAAGGCGACGAUCAGUAGCCGGCCUGAGAGGGUGAUCGGCCACAUUGGGACUGAGACACGGCCCAAACUCCUACGGGAGGCAGCAGUGGGGAAUAUUGCACAAUGGGGGAAACCCUGAUGCAGCGACGCCGCGUGAAGGAAGAAGUAUCUCGGUAUGUAAACUUCUAUCAGCAGGGAAGAUAAUGACGGUACCUGACUAAGAAGCCCCGGCUAACUACGUGCCAGCAGCCGCGGUAAUACGUAGGGGGCAAGCGUUAUCCGGAUUUACUGGGUGUAAAGGGAGCGUAGGCGGCGGAGCAAGUCAGAGGUGAAAGCCCGGGGCUCAACCCCGGGACGGCUUUUGAAACUGCCCUGCUUGAUUUCAGGAGAGGUAAGCGGAAUUCCUAGUGUAGCGGUGAAAUGCGUAGAUAUUAGGAGGAACACCAGUGGCGAAGGCGGCUUACUGGACUGACAAUGACGCUGAGGCUCGAAAGCGUGGGGAGCAAACAGGAUUAGAUACCCUGGUAGUCCACGCCGUAAACGAUGA